GAAAGAGAGCAUCAAUCAGAGGAAAGGGAAACCACCCAAGAGCAAGCAAAUGGUGAGGUAUCCCUUUUCAUCAUCGAUAUUAAAGAUUUUGCUGCAGAUCACUUCGGCAUGUAGAGAGAUCGCUGGUGAGAGGUGGUCAGUGUCGGGAGAUAACUGUAUUCUACUAACUCAAACGUGCAUAGAGGAACAGAAUAAACUUGAUUUGAAACCAAGCAAACCCAGCAAAACACAAUUUUUUUCCUCAUCCAGAGGAAACACAUGACCCUGAGGUAUCAUUAGUGUCUCUAACAAUGUCACCAAAACCGUGAAUAAAUGAGGCAGACGUCUAUCUGCCUGCAUGGAAACAUCUUCAAUGUCAGUGGCAAAAUGCAAUAAACGUCAAUUUGUUCUCUCAAAUUGAC
rnacentral:misc_RNA from 1 species